CCUACGGGAGGCAGCAGUGGGGGAUAUUGCACAAUGGGGGGAACCCUGAUGCAGCGACGCCGCGUGGGUGAAGAAGCGCCUCGGCGCGUAAAGCCCUGUCAGCAGGGAAGAAAAUGACGGUACCUGAAGAAGAAGCCCCGGCUAACUACGUGCCAGCAGCCGCGGGAAUACGUAGGGGGCCAGCGUGAUCCGGAUUUACUGGGUGUAAAGGGGGCGCAGACGGCGAUGCAAGCCAGGAGUGAAAGCCCGGGGCCCAACCCCGGGACUGCUAUUGGAACUGCGUGGCUGGAGUGCAGGAGGGGCAGGCGGAAUUCCUGGUGUAGCGGUGAAAUGCGUAGAUAUCAGGAGGAACACCGGUGGCGAAGGCGGCCUGCUGGACUGCAACUGACGUUGAGGCCCGAAAGCGUGGGGAGCAAACAGGAUUAGAUACCCCAGUAGUC
rnacentral:rRNA from 1 species